rnacentral:rRNA from 1 species
GACGAACGCUGGCGGCGUGCUUAACACAUGCAAGUCGAACGGAAAGGCCCUGCUUUUGUGGGGUGCUCGAGUGGCGAACGGGUGAGUAACACGCGAGUAACCUGCCCUUGACUUUGGGAUAACUUCAGGAAACUGGGGCUAAUACCCGAUAGGAGCUCCUGCAGCACGGUGGGGGUUGGUAAGUUUCGGCGGUUGGGGAUGGACUCGCGGCUUAUCGGCUUGUUAGUGGGGUAGUGGCUGACCAAGGUUGUGACGGGUAGCCGGCAUGAGAGGGGGACCGGGCACAUGGGGACUACGGGAGGGCCCAGACUGCUACGGGAGGCAACAGUGGGAAAUAUUGCACAAUGGGCGGAAGCCUGAUGCAGCAACGCCGCGAGCGGGAUGACGGCCUACGGGUUGUAAACCGAUGUCGCCUGUGACGAAGCGUGAUUGACGGUAAUGAGUAAGGAAGCACCGGCUAACUACGUG